UCGGGGGGGGGGGAUGCAAAGGGGAGAGAAAGAGAGCGAGUUAAAAUGGAAGGGGGGCGAGAAAGCUAUUUCAUUCUCACCCCUUCUAUUUAUCCUCGCUCUCUUUCUCUCGCCUUCGCAUUCCCCCUAGCUUCU